rnacentral:misc_RNA from 1 species
AACGCACAUUGCGCCCUUCGGUAUUCCGUUGGGCAUGCCUGUUCGAGCGUCAUUUAACCCUUCAAGCUCUGCUUGGUGUUGGGCGUUUGUUCCGCCUCUGCGCGUGGACUCGCCUCAAAUAUAUUGGCAGCCGGUAAGUUGGCUUCGUGCGCAGUACAUUGCGUUUUGAUUCCAGCUUGCCCCCUCCCAGUAAGCUCCUUUUAUUACUUUGACCUCGGAUCAGGUAGGGAUACCCGCUGAACUUAA